rnacentral:lncRNA from 1 species
UUAAAAUUUUGCAACGCAGCAUCCGAAACUGGUCUAUAGGUAAUAAAGUAGACUUGGAGAGAUUUCUUGCGGACGAAAUUUGAGGUUUCUGAAGCUGCCGUCAGAUGGAUUUUAGCAUCAGGAAGCAGUAGUCUUUAUAUUUACAUAUUUCCACUGCCCAGUGCUUCUUAAAUGUAUUUGGUUUUCUGGGUGUCAGAAAUAUUCUGGCCCGAAAUAUUAGUAAACCAGAGAACAGUAACGAAAACCUGCAGCCAAAAACGUGACAGCUCAAAAACAACAUGAACUCCCAAUACAAUGGGUUUUAGCUCAGCCUUCUGGAUUAAUCUGAGACUCGCUAGCAACAACCUGCGCAUCACAACAAUUAUAAUUUUAAAUCCUUUGAAUGGAUUGACACGUCAGCUAUCUAGGAUAAGCUGAUAAAAUUCCUUUGUGUCUGGUAACAAUUGGAACCUUAUUGGAAAGAUUGUAAAAAAAUUCUAAAAGUUGGAGGAUGCUGCAUUACUUCAAGAGCAUAUAUUUCAGUACUUUGUGUCUUAUCUAAUCUAUACAACAUAGGCUGAAUGAUGUGUAUCUAUCGAUAUGGGAAGACUGAACGUCAGGAAACUUCUACUGAUUUAAAACAAAGAAAAACAACAAGAUUAUUGUGUAUUGAUCCUUAUGAGAAAAAAAAACUAACAGAAGUAACUCUGAUAUACAAAUUGAUAUUCCCAUGCCAUAUUACUUUUUUCAUAAAAUUUGUUUUAAAACUUGUCUUCGACUUACAUUAGUAUUUUCCAUUUUAACAGGUAAGACCUAUCAGACUUGCCAGGAAUGUGUCUAUUGGUCACACAAAUUGCUUGUUGGCAUUCACUCACAUGUCCUUUACUCACACAUUCACACAAUUUUGGGGUUGGCUUUCAACAUGCCUUAAUUUCCCUUAGAUUUUUAUUAAUAAUGGCAGCCAUUUAGAAAGGGUUAAAUUGGAUGAGGAAAAAGGCUUUGAAACAGAUAACCGUUGGAAGCUCCCAAUCAAAGAUGAACCCUCCGGACGUUGAUCUCAUUUUGUAAUGAGAAGUCACGAUCUUGCUAAACGCGCAGCCUUUUCCCGAGUUCAACAAUCUUUUGGACGUUGGAAAAAAAAAAGGAAAAAUUUAGUGAAACAACAAAUUCUUCGGCCGGAUAUUGCCAUGAUACAUUAACAUUCUGUCACAUUCCGGUAUUCUUAUAAAGAAAUUGAAGUGCA